rnacentral:lncRNA from 1 species
UUUGUUGUGUGGAAGGGGUAUGGUUUGCCCUUCCCUUGCUCCAGCUCGGGCUUCCAUGCCGAGCUCUCGAGGUUCCGAAUCUUCAAGGCUGUACAUCAGUGUCAAGUCAGUCUCAUCUGCUCUAAUUGUUCGAACUCUCAGGUCCUCUCGGACUUUGAGAUCAAUCGAGGACUUCAGGUCGACAGGAACAAAGCCUGCCCCACCUCCUGAUGAUGCCUUUCCACAUAUGUUUCAGGAUAUUGAAAGUUUAACCUACAAGCAUAUAAGUAAUGACAAUGCAUCAGGGUCUUCGUUUGAAUUAGGAAGCAGGGG